UACGAAGGGGGCUAGCGUUGUUCGGAAUUACUGGGCGUAAAGCGCACGUAGGCGGAUAUGUAAGUCAGUGGUGAAAUCUCUAGGCUUAACCUGGAAAUUGCCGUUGAUACUAUAUAUCUUGAAUGCUGUGGAGGUAAGCGGAAUAUGUCAUGUAGCGGUGAAAUGCUUAGAUAUGACAUAGAACACCUAGUGCGAAGGCAGCUUACUACGCAGAUAUUGACGCUCAUGCACGAAAGCGUGGGGAUCAAACAGG
rnacentral:rRNA from 1 species